rnacentral:rRNA from 1 species
GACGAACGCUGGCGGCGUGCUUAACACAUGCAAGUCGAACGAAGUGGCGAACGGGUGAGUAACGCGUAAUCAACCUGCCCUUCAGGGGGGACCACCAGUUGAAAAAGCCUGCUAAUACGCCUUACUGAAGGAGGGGCUUGCGUCUGAUUAGCUAGUUGGAGGGGUAACGGCCCACCAAGGCGAUGAUAAGUAGCCGGUCGGGUAGGAUGAACUGCAACAUUGGGACUUGGACACGGGCCAAGAUCCUACGGGAGGGAGCCGGGGGGAAUCUUCCGCAAUGGACGAAAGUCUGACGGAGCAACGCCGCGUGAGUGAUGACGGGCUUCGGGUUGUAAAGCUCUGUUAAUCGGGACGCGGUACCGGAAUAGAAAGCCACGGCUAACUACGUGCCAGCAGCCGCGGUAAUUC